ACGCUCGACACCUACGGAGGCAGCAUAGGGAAUCUUCCACAAUGGACGCAAGUCUGAUGGAGCAACGCCGCGUGAGUGAAGAAGGUCUUCGGAUCGUAAAAACUCUGUUGUUAGAGAAGAACACGAGUGAGAGUAACUGUUCAUUCGAUGACGGUAUCUAACCAGCAAGUCACGGCUAACUACGUGUCAGCAGCCGCGGUAAUCUGAGCGGGCUGGCAAGGC
rnacentral:rRNA from 1 species